rnacentral:rRNA from 1 species
AGAGUUUGAUCCUGGCUCAGGAUGAACGCUAGCUACAGGCUUAACACAUGCAAGUCGAGGGGAAACGAUAUUGGAAGCUUGCUUCCGAUAGGCGUCGACCGGCGCACGGGUGAGUAACGCGUAUCCAACCUGCCCACCACGUUGGGGAUAACCUUGCGAAAGUAAGACUAAUACCUAAUGAUAUCUCUAGAAGACAUCUGAAAGAGAUUAAAGAUUUAUCGGUGAUGGAUGGGGAUGCGUCUGAUUAGCUUGUUGGCGGGGUAACGGCCCACCAAGGCGACGAUCAGUAGGGGUUCUGAGAGGAAGGUCCCCCACAUUGGAGCUGAGACACGGUCCAAACUCCUACGGGAGGCAGCA